GGUACAGCUCCUGGAUGCCCCUCCAGGACAGGAGGUAAAAGGAUCAGUGUUCCUCAGAAACCCAAAGGGUGGUUCCUGCUCCCCAAAGAAGGACUUUAAGCUGAGCUCGGGAGAUGACUUUGUGCUGCUCAGCCUUGAGGUCCCACUGGAAGAUGUGAGGAGCUGUGGCCUCUUUGACCUGCGCAGAGCCCCCCACAUCCAGCUGGUAGCUCAGUCUCCGUGGCUAAGGAACACAGCUUUCAAAGCCACAGAGACUCAGGGUGUCAACUUGCUCUACUCUUCCCGACGAGGCCACAUCUUUGUGCAGACCGAUCAGCCUAUCUAUAAUCCGGGGCAGCGGGUUCGUUAUCGGGUCUUUGCACUGGAUCAAAAGAUGCGCCCAUCCACUGAUUUCCUCACCAUCACAGUGGAGAACUCCCAUGGCCUCCGUGUACUCAAGAAGGAGAUAUUUACUUCCACAUCCAUCUUACAAGAUACCUUCACCAUUCCAGACAUCUCAGAGCCUGGGACCUGGAAGAUCUCAGCUAGGUUCUCAGAUGGACUGGAGUCCAAUAGGAGCACCCACUUUGAAGUGAAGAAGUAUGUCCUUCCCAACUUCGAGGUGAAGAUUACUCCUUGGAAGCCAUAUAUCCUGAUGGUGCCCAGCAACAGUGAUGAAAUCCAAUUAGACAUCCAGGCCAGGUACAUCUAUGGGAAGCCCGUGCAGGGCGUGGCAUACACACGGUUUGCGCUCAUGGAUGAGCAAGGGAAGAGGACUUUCCUUCGGGGCCUAGAGACGCAGGCCAAGUUGGUGGAAGGCCGGACCCACAUUUCCAUCUCAAAGGACCAGUUCCAGGCUGCCCUGGAUAAAAUCAAUAUUGGGGUCAGAGACCUGGAGGGGCUGCGUCUCUAUGCUGCUACAGNNNNNNNNNNNNNNNNNNGAGGAGAGAUGGAGGAGGCAGAACUCACGUCCUGGCGCUUUGUAUCAUCUGCCUUUUCCUUGGAUCUCAGCCGCACUAAGCGGCAUCUCGUGCCUGGAGCCCACUUCCUGCUGCAGGCCUUGGUCAGAGAAAUAUCAGGCUCUGAAGCCUCUAACGUUAUUGUCAAAGUUUCUGCCACAUUGGUGUCAGGCUCUGAUUCCCAAGUCCUCAACGUUCAACAGAGCACCAAUAGAAUUGGCCAAGUCAGCAUUUCCUUCCCCAUCCCACCAACCGUCACAGAACUUCGGCUCUUGGUGUCUGCGGGCUCCCUCUACCCAAUGAUAGCCAGGCUCACCGUGCAAUCCCCACCUUCAAGAGGCACUGGCUUUCUUUCUAUUGAGCCACUAGACCCUCGGUCCCCUCGUGUGGGGGACACCUUUAUCCUANAUCAUCUCCAGAGGCCAGAUCAUGGCUAUGAGUCGGGAGGCCCGGAGGACCGUGACCUCUGUCUCCGUGUUGGUGGACCAUCAGCUGGCUCCUUCAUUCUACUUCAUGGCUUACUUCUAUCACCAAGGACACCCGGUGGCCAACUCUCUGCUCAUCAACAUCCAGCCCAGGGACUGUGAGGGCAAGCAAAAGAGAAAUGUUAACUUCCAGAAGGCUGUCAGUGAGAAGUUGGGCCAGUAUUCUUCUCCAGAUGCCAAGCGCUGCUGCCAAGACGGGAUGACGAAGCUGCCCAUGAAGCGUACCUGUGAGCAGCGGGCUGCCCGUGUGCCUCAGCAGGCCUGCCGUGAGCCCUUCUUGUCCUGUUGCAAGUUUGCUGAGGACCUUCGCAGGAACCAGACCAGGAGCCAGGCACCCCUUGCCCGAAAGGUCCGGGACAUGGUGAAUUUGAUAGAGGAAGAUGACAUUCUUGUGCGCACCUCCUUCCCAGAGAACUGGCUCUGGAGAGUGGAACCUGUAGACAGCUCCAAACUGUUGACAGUGUGGCUUCCUGAUUCUAUGACCACAUGGGAGAUUCAUGGUGUGAGCCUGUCCAAAAGCAAAGGUCUGUGUGUAGCCAAGCCAACUCGUGUUCGAGUGUUCAGAAAAUUCCAUUCACCUGCGCCUGCCCAUCUCCGUCCGCCGCUUUGAGCAGCUUGAAUUACGGCCUGUUCUCUACAACUAUCUGAAUGAUGACAAGAACGUGAGUGUCCAUGUGACCCCAGUGGAGGGCCUGUGCAUGGCUGGUGGUGGAAUGAUGGCCCAGUGGGUGAUAGUGCCUGCAGGCUCUGCCCUGCCUGUGGCCUUCUCUGUGGUACCCACAGCUUCUACCAACGUGCCCCUGAAAUUGGUGGCUAAAGGGACUUUGGAUUCAAGCGAUUCUGUGUCUAAGAUUCUCCAAAUUGAGAAGGAAGGAGCCAUCCACAGAGAAGAGAUAGUCUACAACCUCGACCCCCUAAAUAACCUAGGUCAGAUGUUGGAGAUACCUGGCAGCUCGGAUCCCAACAUAGUCCCUGAAGGAGACUUCAGCACCUUUGUCAAGGUUACAGCCUCUGAACCCUUGGAGACUCUGGGCUCUGAAGGAGCUUUGUCCCCAGGAGGCGUGGCCUCCCUUCUGAGGCUUCCCCGGAGCUGCGCAGAGCAAACCAUGAUCUAUUUGGCUCCUACCCUGACUGCUUCCAACUACCUGGACAGGACAAAACAGUGGAGCAAACUGUCCCCUGAGACCAAGGACCAUGCUGUGCAUCUGAUCCAGAAAGGCCACGUUCGGAUCCAGCAGUUUCGGAAGAAAGAUGGCUCCUUUGGGGCUUGGUUACACCGGGACAGCAGCACCUGGCUGACUGCCUUUGUGCUGAAGAUUCUGAGUUUGGCCCAGGAACAGGUGGGCAACUCCCCGGAGAAGCUGCAGGAGACGGCUAGCUGGCUGCUGGCCCAGCAGCUGGGUGAUGGCUCCUUCCACGACCCAUGUCCAGUCAUCCACAGAGCAAUGCAGGGGGGCUUGGUGGGGUCCAAUGAGACGGUGGCACUGACCGCCUUUGUGGUCAUUGCCCUUCACCACGGGCUGAACGUCUUCCGGGAGGGGCAUGCGAAGCAGCUGAAGAACAGAGUGGAAGCCUCCAUCACCAAGGCAAACUCUUUCUUGGGGCAGAAGGCAAGUGCUGGGCUCCUGGGUGCCCAUGCCGCCGCCAUCACAGCCUAUGCCCUUACGCUGACCAAGGCCUCGGAGGACCUGCGGAAUGUUGCCCACAACAGCCUGAUGGCCAUGGCUGAGGAAACGGGGGAAAACCUCUACUGGGGCUUAGUCCUUGGCUCUCAGGACAAAGUUGUGUUGCGCCCCGCAGCCCCCCGUAGCCCAACAGAACCUGUGCCCCAGGCCCCAGCCUUGUGGAUCGAAACCACAGCCUAUGCCCUGCUCCACCUGCUUCUGCGUGAGGGAAAGGGAAAAAUGGCUGACAAGGCUGCAUCCUGGCUCACCCACCAGGGAAACUUCCACGGGGCAUUCCGCAGUACCCAGGACACUGUGGUCACCCUGGAUGCCCUGUCUGCCUACUGGAUCGCUUCACACACCACUGAGGAGAAAGCACUGAACGUGACGCUCAGCUCCAUGGGCCGCAAUGGGCUCAAAACCCACGUGCUACACUUGAACAACCACCAAGUCAAGGGCCUGGAGGAGGAGCUGAAGAUCCUUCGUACCUACAACGUCCUGGACAUGAAGAACACCACAUGCCAGGACCUUCAGAUAGAAGUGAAGGUCACAGACGCUGUGGAAUAUGCAUGGAGCGCCUACGAAGACUAUGAAGACGACUAUAACAUGCCAGCCACAGAUGAUCCCAGCGUUCCCUUGCAGCCUGUCACGCCCCUGCAGCUAUUUGAGGGUCGUCGGAGCCGCCGCAGGAGGGAGGCCCCCAAGGUGGCUGAAGAGCGGGAGUCCAGAGUUCACUACACUGUGUGUAUCUGGCGCAAUGGCAAGCUGGGGCUGUCUGGCAUGGCCAUCGCAGACAUCACCCUCCUGAGUGGAUUCCACGCCCUGAGGGCUGACCUGGAGAAGCUGACCUCUCUCUCUGACCGUUACGUGAGUCACUUUGAGACUGACGGGCCCCAUGUCCUGUUGUACUUUGACUCGGUCCCUACCACCCGGGAGUGUGUGGGCUUUGGAGCCUCGCAGGAGGUGGUUGUGGGACUGGUGCAGCCAUCCAGUGCUGUCCUGUAUGACUACUACAGUCCUGAUCACAAGUGCUCUGUGUUUUAUGCUGCACCCACCAAGAGCCAGCUCCUGGCCACACUGUGCUCUGGAGAUGUAUGCCAGUGUGCCGAGGGGAAGUGCCCUCGACUGCUAAGGUCACUGGAGCGAAGGGUGGAGGACAAGGACGGCUACCGGAUGAGGUUCGCCUGCUAUUAUCACCAAGUGGAGUAUGGCUUCACGGUUAAGGUUCUUCGAGAAGAUGGCAGAGCUGCCUUCCGUUUCUUUGAGUCCAAGAUCACCCAAGUCCUGCAUUUCAGAACGGACACCAUGGCCUCCAUAGGUCAGACCCGCAACUUCCUGAGCCGGGCCUCUUGCCGCCUUCGUUUGGAGCCUAACAAAGAGUACUUGAUCAUGGGGAUGGACGGGGAAACCAGUGACAACAAGGGAGACCCCCAGUACUUGCUGGACUCAAAUACCUGGAUUGAGGAGAUGCCUUCGGAACAAAUGUGCAAGAGCACCCGCCAUCGGGCAGCCUGUUUCCAGCUCAAAGACUUCCUGAUGGAGUUCAGCAGCCGGGGGUGCCAGGUGUGAGGCCUUAGGACUCUGGCUCUCUGAGCUCAGCUCAGGGUCAGGGCCUCGCUGGAUGAGGGGCUCUGCUCUACAGGGUAAAUAAAAGAAAAGCUUUUUGACAGCCAA
ensembl:processed_transcript